rnacentral:rRNA from 1 species
UUCGAGUGGCGACGGGUGAGUAACGCGUGGGUAACCUGCCUUACACAGGGGGAUAACACCUGGAAACAGGUGCUAAUACCGCAUAAGCGCACAGGGCCGCAUGGCCCGGUGUGAAAAACUCCGGUGGUGUAAGAUGGACCCGCGUCUGAUUAGCUUGUUGGCGGGGUAGGGGCCCACCAAGGCGACGAUCAGUAGCCGGCCUGAGAGGGUGGACGGCCACAUUGGGACUGAGACACGGCCCAAACUCCUACGGAAGGCAGCAG